UGACAACAUUAAAUCAAAUCAAGACAAUUAAUUGUUUGAGAAAAAGCUAAGGAACCAUUUUGUUAACCUCUACCAAUGUAACUCAGGCCUAAAGGUAAUCCUUUGAACAAGAAUAUUAUUAACCACAGAUCGAUUGACUUCCAGACUGUCCGAGUGAACAUUUAUUACAAUCAAUUCAAUUUAAAUUAACAACGAACUGAUUAAAGUAACAAACAAAGAUUAUCCUUUAAUCAACUUGUUGGAAUGAAAAAAAAUCGUAAUUAAGAAAAAAGAAAAAAAAAUGAGCAACUAGUUCCAUCUAUCGGUUACCAUUGGAACUACUUUGUCAACGAUAAAAAAUCAACAUUGAUUGUGUUUAUUUUCGUGGCAAUUAACAAUUAAAUCUGAUUGUUUUAAGUAAAUUAUAUUUUUCUAAUGAAAGUCCGUAAAUAAAUUGUACAGUUUUUUUCUCAAAUUUUCUCCUUGGAUUCUUCAACUCGAACUCUUUUGCUCGGUGAUUUCAUCUUGGUUUAUAAAUAAUGGAAACCAUUAAACAAACAUGAUCAUUUAAUCAUUUGAAUAACUAAUGAUGAAUUACCAUGUAAUUGACAUGUGAUCAGUUAUUACAACCGGAUAUCGAGAGCUGUUUAAUGGACAAGGUUACUCUCAAGUGUUUAAAAGCUUACAACAAGAGAAAGAGAUAAAUUAACAACCGGAAAAAGGCAAGAAAUUGAGAAAUGGGUGAAACCAAGAAGUUCAAUAGAAUGAUCAAUUCUCUGGAUAUAUAAACCAACACACAAUUAUCAUGUAUCAAAGGGAUUGGAAACAAUGAGAUAAUUUUGUUUAACAA